rnacentral:rRNA from 1 species
AACGAACGCUGGCGGCAUGCCUAACACAUGCAAGUCGAACGAGACCUUCGGGUCUAUUGGCGCACGUGGGGUUGACGCGUGGUAACUUGCCCGUAGGUUCGGAAUAACUCCCCGAAGGGUGUGCUAAUACCGGUUAAUGUCAUCGCACCAAAGAGUUAUCGCCUUUGGAUGGGCGCGGGUUGGAUUAGCUAGUUGGUAGGGUAAAAGCCGACCAAGGCGACGUUCCAUAGCUGGUGUGAGAGGAUGAUCAGCCAGACUGGGAGUGAGACACGGCCCAGACUCCUACGGGAGGAAGCAGUGGGGAAUAUUGGACAAUGGGCGACAGACUGAUCAAGCAAUGCCGCGUGAGUGAUGAAGGCCUUAGGGUUGUAAAGCUCUUUUACCCGGGAUGAUAAUGACAGUAACGGGAGAAUAAGCCACGGCUAACUCCGUG